rnacentral:lncRNA from 1 species
GAGCCAUACUGCAUUGUGUUUAAUCUACUCUACUCUCUCUUAUAUUUUAGGGAAAAGGAUUUGGUUUGUCAUUUUUUUCAGCAUUGAAAGGAGACUUUGUCCCAAGUGUCUGAGAGGGGGUAUUUUACUCAUGAACAAAGCUGGAACUUAAUCCCAAUAAGAGCCAAGACAGGAAUCUGUCAAUGAGUGUUCAGUGCCCCCAAAAAGCAGUAAAUUGGGACAACAGUUCAAUAGAAUUAUAAAUUUCUUGAAACAUUUCUAGUAAAAAGUUGCUAUAGCCAAUGUCAACACCAGAACAAACAGUCCAAUUAAAAAAUAGACAGAAGACAUGAAUAGAUAUUUUUUCAAAGAAGAUCUGCAGAUGGCCAAAAGACAAAAAGAUGCUCAAUAUCACUCAUCAUCAGGUUUGCUCUCAGCCUGGCAUGAAGGCUUCCCUGUGUCCUGAGUGAUCUCUUUGAGUCUCCUGCUAUGGGAAGGAGCAAGCACAGACCCUUCUCUUGGAACAGAAAGGCACUGAUAACUCCAGUCUCAAGGAAGUAAGUGCCCAAAGGCAUGAGGUGAAUUGUACAGAUAUGAGCUUCUUUUGCUGUAAGAUGACUGUUGAGGACAGAGGUGUGAAGAAUCCCAAUUAUGUGUACUUCCUUGGGAUAAGUUACUGGGGUCACAAUAAUAAAACAGUUUGGAAUUAUGUAAAAGCUGGAUAAUUUAUAUAUGAUGUUUAUUAUUCUCUUUUUUUUAAAAUUUAAAUUUUGUUAGUUAACAUACAGUGCAAUAUCAGUUUCUGGAGUAGAAUUCAGUGAUUCAUCACUUACAUACAAUAUCCAAUGCUCCUCACAACAAGUGUCCUCUUUAGUACCCAUCCCCCAUCUAACCCAUCCCCCACCCACAUCCCUCCAUCAGCCCUCAGUUUGUUGUUCUCUGUCAUGUUUGUGGCUUGUUUCCCUCUAUCCCAUUUCCUUUUCCCCCCUUCCCAUAUGUUUAUCCAUUUAUUUUUGCUGUAGUUUUUCCUCAAUCCAUUUCAGGCAAGUAAGUGUUUUUUCUUAUGCUGAGGAAUUUUGCAGGGCCAAAUAAGAAAUGGCAGAAAGAUGACUCUUUUCCCUUUCUCUUUUGAAAGUUUGAGCUCAUGGAAAAUAAGAUGUUAGGUAUUUCUAGGGAGGGUGAGGGUGAAAUAGCAGUUUUUGAGGACAGCAAGAAAAGAAGAGUUUUGGUUUCUUUUGUUUUUGUUUUUUUCCCAAUCCCUAGACUGGGAUGGAAGCUAGAAGGCCCCAUGAGCAAAGGCACCGCAUGCCUUGCCGCAUGACAGUUUCUUACAGACAGCCCCAGAGCCUUUGAGGCAUGACGUUCAGUUCACUUAUCAUCAGGUACCCUUAACAGAACUGAAUCCUAACUUUGGGAUUGCCAUUCUUGCCUGUGUCCCCCAAAUAUGACAGCAUAAUUGUUGGUUUUAAGUGACUUUAUGAGUAUAGACAAAUACUCUGAGAAUCUAAGAAGUUCUAAUAAAGAUAGGACUGAAAUUCCACUCCAGUAGAAUGAUGGCUUAUGGUUAAAUAUAAUUUUUUUUGUUUUUAAUUUUUUUUAGAAAUUUAAUUUUGGAAUACCUUUAGAUUUACAGAAAAAUUACAAAGAUAAUAUAGAGAGUGCCCAUAUAUACCCUAUCCAGUUUCCUUUUUGCUGCCAUCUUACAUUACAAUGGAACAUUUGUCCAAACUAAGAAAUAGACAUUGGUACACCACUGUUACUGAACUCCAAACUUAAUCUAGAUUUCACCAGUUGUCCCACUAAUAUCUUCUUUCUGUUCCAGGACCCAACUCAAGGUACCGCAUUGCAUUUGUUUUCAUGUCUUCUCCAUCUCCUCUGAUCCAUGAGAGUUUCUCAGUUUUCAUGACCUUGACAGUCUUGAGGAGUGCUGGUCAGGUAUUUUGUAGGAAGUCCUCCAGUGGGGCUUUUCUAAUGUUUUUCUUAUGAUUAGAUUGGGAUUAUGGGCUUUUGGAACAAAUACCACAGAAGGCAAGUGCCCUUCUCAUCACAUCGUAUCAGGGGUGUAAAGUUCUUUUUUUUUUUUUUUAAAUAAAGAAAAUGGACACUUCUUACACAUUAGAAUUUGUAGAUGAAGAUUCAUAUGGAUUUGUAGAUGAAGAUUCAUUGCUAUUUAUACAUUCAGAUAUAAAAGGAGUUUAGAUCACCACCUAAGAGAAUCAUUAUUUUAAUUAUUACAAUCGAAGAAGAAUUUAACAGCUCCUGCAGUUCUUCUAGGAUGGUAAACAUUUUCAUCAAAGCUCUGAACAGACCUUUUUAUGUGUUCCACUGUGAUUCUGAGACUAUUUAGAUAGGAUUUCUUAAGUAUUUGAGGAAGCCUGCUGAAAUCUUGUCAAAAACAACUUCCUUACUUUCUAUACUAUUAAUGGCUCUUAUGGCCAAAUAAAAUCAGUUUUAUCUAAGUCUUCAGGAAAAAGGAAAAAAAAAAGUAUAUAAACCACAAACAUACCAUGCAUCAGAGGCUCAAACCAUCAUUCUCUCUUUGUAGUUUUUAGGAUACAGGAACUUGUUCAUAAUAACAUAGGAGUUCUAAUUGUGUGGAAAAAAAUUUAAGAUUCAUUAUGAAAGCCAUGAGAAGGACACUAACCAAGGUUAUUAAAAAAACAAUUAUUCCUUACCUCCUUUUCACUACAACUUUCAGCCCUCAGCAUCAUCCAGGUCACCAUGCAGGCAUUAAUCAAAAUGUUUCCUUUAGUGUUGCUAGAAAUUCUGACCCAUGGAAAAUGAUUUAUGGUCCCUUCCCAGAGAUCAGAUGUCUGUCUCUUAGAGAAGAUGAACAUGUGACCAGGGCAGAGAGCAUUCACAAGGCUAAGCAACUGUUCAGCAACAGGUGCACAUCUGUUCGCAUCAGGAUGACACCCCACCUUUGUCACACUUCCUUACUAUUAUAAAAGAGUUCCUAUGUGUUGACAUAUGUCUCUUUCAAUGGAUGUAUAGAAAUCUAGGGAAUUUACAGAACAGGUGUUAGCUUAAUUAUUAUUUCAAAUAGUAGUAUUCUGCUCACAAGAAAUGCUAGGACUGAUAGUGUUCAAGCAGACAAGUUUUGGUGUGUAAUAAUAGAGUCAGAGUGAGAAAGAAGGUUAAAAAGGCUGCAAUUACUCAUAGUUCAGGGUGUCCCACAGAACAGUGAUUCAGUAUACUCUUGGUCAGUUUGGCAGCAAGGAUAUCAUCUUUUGUAUUUCUCUGCCAAACGAACACUGAAGUAUCACCCUGCUCUCUCCUCCACUGGGAGUCAGAACUUUGUUUACCCUCUGGUGGAGUCUCUUCCAAUAAUAUCUUUUCCACUGCUUAUCUUUUUAUUCACAAGGAAUAGUUUGAUAGUAAUUUAAAGGAGAAUAAAGUAAGGGAUGUGUGCCAUGGUUAAAACACUCAGUGAAACAUCAAAAUGCAAGAUACAUUGCAGUGUCAGGUCAAUGGGUGGAAGAGCUUGGGUAGAGCUAUGUAGACAAGAAAUCUUAAGAACAGGGAGGAGAAAUUCUGAAAGAUAUAUGUACCCCUAUGUUUAUUGCAGCAUUAUUUACAAUAAACAAAAAUGGAAGUAACCCAAGUAUUCACU